AGAUUAAGUUAUUAAGGGCGCACGGUGGAUGCCUUGGCACUAGAAGCCGAUGAAGGACGUUACUAACGACGAUAUGCUUUGGGUAGCUGUAAGUAAGCGUUGAUCCAGAGAUUUCCGAAUGGGGGAACCCAGCAUGAGUUAUGUCAUGUUAUCGACAUGUGAAUUCAUAGCAUGUCAGAAGGCAGACCCGGAGAACUGAAACAUCUUAGUACCCGGAGGAAGAGAAAGAAAAAUCGAUUCCCUGAGUAGCGGCGAGCGAAACGGGAAGAGCCCAAACCAACAAGCUUGCUUGUUGGGGUUGUAGGACACUCUAUACGG
rnacentral:rRNA from 1 species